ensembl:lncRNA
GGAUGGUAGAUAUACCUGAAUUCAGAUAUAAUUUGGAUGGUAGAUAUACCUGAAUUCAGAUAUAAUUGGCAACAUUUUGAUGUAGUUGUUGUUGACCAGGAAAGGGUGUAAGUGCUGAGAUUCUGUCAAUCGUGAUUUCUCCGUAAACAGCUCCUCUUUCAGAACUUUGUCGGUUUGAAUUAAAGACAUACUGAGUAAUCCAUGGCAGCCUGGUGUGUACAUUUUAAAUGUGGGCUCUAUUAAAUUAUCAUCAAAAGGAAUGCUAGCAGAUAAUGCAAAUGAGUCUCUUACAGACGUUACUCAUUCUGCCAUGCUUUUUCAUUAUCAUUAGUAUUUGUAUUCGUUUUUGCCAGUUUGUCCUCCUGUUCCUGAUCGUCAUUAGCGCAAUAUCUUAAGAAGGAGUAUCUAAAUCUGCGUCGAAUCCGUAUGGAAUUUUAUCGUUUCAACCAGCAGGUGAACGGAUCCAAUUUUGGAAUCGAUCCAGACAGGGUCAAGUCGAAUGUCAGAAAUGCUUUUUCGUCAGUAUCUUCCAUCAUGUUUGAAGUAUAUUUUAAAGGGUAUUUCUGGCAUAAAAAUGAGUAACAAGAAGGACUUAUUUUUUUUGUAGACGAGCGGUGCUUUAUCCACACUGCACUGUAUAUUAUACAUGGCUAUUUGUUAUUUUGUUGUUGUCAUGCUAUUGUGGCCCUUACUAUUAGUAAUACUCAGACAUGGUUGAACUUUAACCCAUGCAUUAUGUACUGUACGAUAGCGUGAUAAUUAGCAUUUGCUACCCGAUUUAAAAAAAAAAAAAAAAAACAGCAUUAAAUUGAAUUUGCUUAAUCCUGCAGAUAGCUUGUUUCAAAUCUGUGUUAGAAACAUGUUCUCGAAAGUGGACUCAGAGUUUUGGACUAAACUGUACGUGUAUUCAUAUUUGAGUGCUGAUUUUGGCAUCACUUAUUGAGCAGGAGAAAACACCGAAGUAAGGAAAUUAAUUUAAAGUUUGUAGGCAGUUUCCGAUGGUGUGUACGUGUGUGUGUGUGUGUGUGUGUGUGAGUGUGGCGUGUCGGCGUUGCUGAGGUGAUGGAACACAGGAUUGUAUUCUGUAGUUAAUGUAGAACUGUCACUAAGCAAUAAGCUGUGGAUCUGAUGCUCCUUGGAGACUCGUGUAGAGAGAGAAGCAGUUUCACUCUCUUUCUGCUCAUCUGAUUCGUUCUCUCUCUCUCUCUCUCUCUCUCUCAUCCUUUUUCUUUCUCCCUUGCCAUUUCUUUAGCGCUGGUGCCAUCUGUUAUCUCUGUGUCUGAGCUUUGUAAAAGAGCGCCUGUCUGUCUCGAACAUUCCACUCAGACACAUACACAAUGAAUGGGGGGAUUUUUUUUUUGUCUUGUGUUUUUUUUUUGUUUUUUUCAUGGCGCAAAAAUGGGAAUGAAAAUAUACAGACAAGGCAACAUACAUACAAUAUAUAUAUAUAUAUACACCAUACUUAUUAAUAUAUAAUAAAUGAUAGAUUAUAGCUCAGAGAUCAGUGAAUAAAUAGUGUAAUAAUAAAUAGAUAUAAAUUACUUACAUACUGUAGAUGUUGACGGAAUGUUACUGAAUUAUUCUUUACUGGAGUAAAUAUGCGAAGCGGCUUUUUAGAGAAUAAACAUACGCGGCGAAAAAUCUGAGAAAAUCACUUAAUGAUGAUAAAGCAAUUGGAGGCCGAGAGUUAUGUUUUAAC